rnacentral:rRNA from 1 species
UUAAGUUGUUGCAGUUAAAAGCUCGUAGUUGAACCUUGGGCCUGGUUGGCCGGUCUGCCUCACCGCAUGCACUGGUCCGACCGGGUCUUUCCCUCUGUGGAUCCGCAUGCUAUUCAUUUAGUGUGUCGGGGAAACAGGACAUUUACUGUGAAAAAAUUAGAGUGUUCAAAGCAGGCAUAUGCUCGAAUACAUUAGCAUGGAAUAAUAGAAUAGGACGUGUGGUUCUAUUUUGUUGGUUUCUAGGACCGCCGUAAUGAUUAAUAGGGACAGUCGGGGGCAUCAGUAUUCAAUCGUCAGAGGUGAAAUUCUUGGAUCGAUUGAAGACUAACUACUGCGAAAGCNUUUGCCAAGGAUGUUUUCAUUAAUCAGGAACGAAAGUUAGGGGAUCGAAAACGAUCAGAUACCGUUGUAGUCUUAACCAUAAACUAUGCCGACUAGGGAUCGGACGAUGUUAUUUUUUGACUCGUUCGGCACCUUACACGAAAGUAAAGUUUUUGGGUUCUGGGGGGAGUAUGGUCGCAAGGCUGAAACUUAAAGAAAUUGACGGAAGGGCACCACAAGGGGUGGAGCCUGCGGCUUAAUUUGACUCAACACGGGGAAACUCACCAGGUCCAGACACAACUAGGAUUGACAGAUUGAGAGCUCUUUCUUGAUUUUGUGGGUGGUGGUGCAUGGCCGUUCUUAGUUGGUGGAGUGAUUUGUCUGCUUAAUUGCGAUAACGAACGAGACCUUAACCUGCUAAAUAGNCCGUUCCNCUUAGGCGGA